rnacentral:rRNA from 1 species
UACGGAGGGGACUAGCGUUGUUCGGAAUUACUGGGCGUAAAGCGCACGUAGGCGGAUUUGUAAGUCAGGGGUGAAAUCCCGGGGCUCAACCUCGGAACUGCCUUUGAUACUGCGAAUCUUGAGUCCGAUAGAGGUGGGUGGAAUUCCUAGUGUAGAGGUGAAAUUCGUAGAUAUUAGGAAGAACACCGGUGGCGAAGGCGGCCCACUGGAUCGGUACUGACGCUGAGGCGCGAAGGCGUGGGGAGCGAACGGG